rnacentral:rRNA from 1 species
CAGCUUGUUGGUGGGGUAACGGCCUACCAAGGCGACGACGGGUAGCCGGCCUGAGAGGGCGACCGGCCACACUGGGACUGAGACACGGCCCAGACUCCUACGGGAGGUAGCAGUGGGGAAUAUUGCGCAAUGGGCGAAAGCCUGACGCAGCGACGCCGCGUGGGGGAUGAAGGCCUUCGGGUUGUAAACCCCUUUCAGCAGGGACGAAGCGAAAGUGACGGUACCUGCAGAAGAAGCGCCGGCUAACUACGUGCCAGCAGCCGCGGUAACACGUAGGGCGCAAGCGUUGUCCGGAAUUAUUGGGCGUAAAGAGCUCGUAGGCGGUCUGUUGCGUCUGCUGUGAAAACUCGGGGCUUAACCCCGAGCCUGCAGUGGAUACGGGCAGACUAGAGGUAGGUAGGGGAGAAUGGAAUUCCCGGUGUAGCGGUGAAAUGCGCAGAUAUCGGGAGGAACACCGGUGGCGAAGGCGGUUCUCUGGGCCUUACCUGACGCUGAGGAGCGAAAGCGUGGGGAGCGAACAGGAUUAGAUACCCUGGUAGUCCACGCCGUAACGUUGGGCGCUAGGUGUGGGAUCCUUCCACGGAUUCCGUGCCGCAGCUAACGCAUUAAGCGCCCCGCCUGGGGAGUACGGCCGCAAGGCUA